GUUCUCUGCUGAGUCUACCACAGCGAUGGGCAUCUCUGACUGUCCCGACUUCUUUGGCCUACAACUCAUGUCAACAUAGCCAAUGAGGCUCCAAUUUCUUUUCUUGCCCGGUGGGGCUCACCUCGUAAUGUUCUCUCCAUCACCAAGCUAAUGGAAGCAAUCAGGAUGUCACCCUGGCCUAGUGCCAGACGAAAGGCUUCUCUCAAGGAAUGAUAAGAUCAGGUGUUUUCCUUUGAGGGAAAUGUUCGUCUCCACACUCCUUCACUCAGAGCAAGCAGCGGCUGAGUGCCUUCAGACUUCAUUCCCUCAGGCAAACAUACCCCUCUUCAGCUUUGCGGUUCUUAUGGUGACAGCUGUGUCAUUGGGAGGAUUUACAGAAGACCCCCCCUCCUACCUCUUCUCCUAAGGGCUGUCACAUCUAAGGCAGCUGAGCUCUUUCCAGGAAAUGCGAAUAUGCUCCCCAGCUUUCCAGGAAGAGAGCCAGAUCCCAAGGCAAACCACACUACAGGAAGAGAAACUUCCAGUUUUUGUGGGGGGAAGUAGCUUUAAAGCUUUCCAGCAAAGUGCUGGGGCUUACUGGUUCGGAGCCAAUGUGCUGUGUGAAUGCUCCAAGCAACAAUGGCACGCCACAGUGGUACAUGGUACACCAAACAAGCAGAGGACAAGCGAGACGGGGAAUGACAUGCCAAGAUUGGGAGUCAGAGCCUCCCUGCUGUACCAGUCUAGAAGCAGCGACACGGCCUGGGCAAGAAGAAGGCACCCCAAUGGCUGCAAGUGAACCUC